GUGGGGAAUCUUAGACAAUGGGGGAAACCCUGAUCUAGCCAUGCCGCGUGAGCGAUGAAGGCCUUAGGGUUGUAAAGCUCUUUCAGCUGGGAAGAUAAUGACGGUACCAGCAGAAGAAGCCCCGGCUAACUCCGUGCCAGCAGCCGCGGUAAUACGGAGGGGGCUAGCGUUGUUCGGAAUUACUGGGCGUAAAGCGCACGUAGGCGGAUCAGAAAGUCAGAGGUGAAAUCCCAGGGCUCAACCUUGGAACUGCCUUUGAAACUCCUGGUCUUGAGGUCGAGAGAGGUGAGUGGAAUUCCGAGUGUAGAGGUGAAAUUCGUAGAUAUUCGGAGGAACACCAGUGGCGAAGGCGGCUCACUGGCUCGAUACUGACGCUGAGGUGCGAAAGCGUGGGGAGCAAACAGGAUUAGAAACCCGGGUAGUCC
rnacentral:rRNA from 1 species